CAGUCCCCCAAGUAGUAACAGGUGGCCACUUUCAGGUGGUUUGACAGGACAAGGAAUGUUUGUGAUUGCAGGCUUUUGUAGUUCAUCCACUUCUUGACCUGAAUUUCUCUCUCUUUUAAAAACUGGUGCCAUGGCUAUAACAAGCUCAACAAGUUAGAGAAAGAAAAAGUUAAAGACCAAGUUCACUGAGAAUCUGUUUUUAUUUGUUAUUUUUUAAAUAUGAGCAGUCACUCUGAGUUUAGCAUGCAGGCUAAAGUGAAAAUAAUUCUCAACCCCUAUUUCCUGCAUUAGCCGCGAUAAAGCACAGACGGGGAAACUCUCGGAUUAGAAAAACCAGUCACAUCUACCUCACAUUCAAAAUUCACAUUCAUGGACUCGCCCAUCUUUUCUUGCAACAGGGCAGAGCUGUAGAAAGAGAGAGUUGUGACACUCCAAUAGACUUCUAUGGAAAAACUGGAAUGCGGGAGUCACGUGGUUCAUGUAGCUUCGAAUAGUUCCAAACAGCCCCCACUGCUGCAUUGACCGCAGUUCAUUUUCGGUGUUUCGGAAGGAUUUUCUCCGGUAAGUUGAUGAAAUGUCAUCAUUUUCUUGCAUUGUGAAGCGUUAGCUAACCGCUUCGUACCAAAAUAAGCCAAGGAUGAUAUUUUAUGUUGCCAGUUUUAGCUAGAUAACCUUUAAUGAGCUAAUUGUGUGCAGCUUGUUGAUUGUAAGCAGGAGGGUUUAGACAAGCUUGUCGAGCUGUAGAUUGAUUUAUUUCAGUUUGUUUGAUUCUACGUUUUAAAAAUAUUCCCCACAGUUUGAAAAAGGUUAUAAACUUUUUACAUUAUUAGUUUAAUUUGGGAAUUUUUGUACAAUAAUUUGUAUCAACACGAACAUGCAUCAGAAAUGGAAGCACAAAUGGAGAGACCAAUAAUAAAGAAAAUGUGAUUGUGAAGAAAAGUAAUUAUUUAAUAUUUUUCAGUUAAUAACGCUGACUGCAACAAACUGCUGAAGCAUGAGACAAACAGGAUAACGAACGUAAGAUAUGUUGUUCUGUUUUGUGUACUCAAGUAAUGAGAAUAAAAUAAAGAUAUUUCAAGAAUAGUAGUCAAUUAACUUUUAAAAAUGAGACAUUUUCCAUAAAACUGCUCAUUUCCACUUGCUUUAUAAUAUUAGCAUUUGCAAUUUUGUUAUUAAGGAAUGACAAGAAAUAAGAAUUAACAAUAACACAAUUGUCAAUAAAUAAAUGUCAAAGAGUUACUAAAACAAAGAUCUUAUGUAACCAUUAAAGGUUAAACUGUGUUGUGUGUCCAUCUUCAUGUUUUCAUAGUGGCUGAGCGGAGAGCUGACCAGGAACAACGCUGGUGGCAAAACCCAGUUGGGUCUGUGAUGGAGUGAUGCACGCCUGGAGUGAUUGCCAUCUCAUCCACAGGUUCUAACACCAGGCAGAGGGAUACUCGUGUCCUGAAGAAACCUGUAGCCUGUUGAACCCACUGAAAAACAGAGUUGUUUUCCAGCUGGGUUCCCUGGUUGCAUCGCCUGUUCCUUUCUCCUCCUGGCUGUGACGAACCUUGUCCCCUCAGUCCAUCUUCUCAUCUCUACCUGAGCCUGUUGUACCCACUGCCAAGGAUUCAGCAACAGGGACAGCGCCAGAAACGGCUUGCUCACUCUCUCCAGCGCCCCAGCACCAGUUCAGGACCUCGGAGAGAGGCACGCCAGAGAAGACCGCAGCUGAUCUGAAUCAGCGAUGAAGCAGCUCCCAGGACUUAAAAGAGGAGCGAAGCAGACAGUCAGGAGAUCCAGAAUUAGUCUGUUAUUCUCCCGAGUUCAUUGACACUUCUUGCUAAGGCUAAAUCUUUCCUGUAUCAUUUCUGGUUGUUUCUGCGGAGAUCCAGAAAUAGUCUGAAUUUCUCCUGAGCUCUGUUUACACUCACUGCUACAGCUAACUUUUAAGGCAUUUGCUAAGGGUUUGUCAAUAGGGAUUUGGCUUAAUUAUCCUCAUUAGAAGGAUUUAUCUGACAGAACGUCAGUUUAUUUAGGUUGGUGGCUUUUUUCCCCAUUGGACUUUUGAGCCAGGUAUAUUUUCAGUUAGGUGGUUGUGAUUUACGUUUGGCAGAAAGCCAUUUUCUUAAGCCGUUAUUGCUUAUGUUUUCAGUUUCCACCUUUGUUUAAUCACCAUUAUCAUUCAGCCCUAUUUUGACGUUCAGACACGGACACCCCUUUGUUAAUAAAUCCUUUUGGUUUUACGCUCACCACCUCGUUAUUUAUCCACACACACUCUCGUACACCUAUGUUCCUGUGUUAGUCCCCUCAUCCUCCUAGACCUUCAGGAAGGGGCAUAACACUGGCCCUGAUUCCGGCUCCUCAUGGCUUCCUGGGAUGUCCCUCUCUCCUGAUACCAUCUCAUGUCCCCCCACACUUUCCCUCAUCUCAUUUGCCUCACUGCUGCUGCUGCUUUCCUUAUUCUCUGUAUUUAUAAUGGCACUGUUAGAAUAAAGAAUAAUUUUAAAAUAAAAUAAAUAAAAAUGUCUUAAUAUUUCAAAAGAUUCAUACCACAGUUUACUUGAGUACAAUAUGUGUGGUCACUGGUCAGUGGAUCAACAUGCAGUGGUUCUGCUGUACUUCUCACUGCGGGGUCCCUCCUCCUCCUUGGUUCAGGGCGAUGAACAAACACAGCAUCAGCCCUGAGUCUCACCUUGCCUUGCCUAGUCUUAGUAAACUGUCCCUCCUCAAAAUGUGCCUGUAGAGUGGUGUAUUAGUUUAUUUCCUGCCACAUUUAACAGUUUAAUUGCAGCCUUGUGCAGUUGAGAGCAGAACAUGUAGAGCCUUGAUAGAAAACAUUUGAGAGUGCACGUUAAACUCACUGCACACAGCUUUUUGUUAUUGUGAUCUCUGUUCAUGGUGAGGUUGCUCCUGCUGACUGGAGCCAACCAUUUUCUUCUUCUCUCUGCGUCUUUGGGGAAGCCGUAAUUCUGAUUCCUCCCUCAGAACGAUUGCUAUAUGCAGCGCAGCCAAUCAUGUAAGAUAAUCAACCUAGAAAGGGAUUGUUAAAAUACUAUUUUUGUACAUAUAGAAAUAUUGAACUAAACAAAAAAUAUAGAGAUGUAAAAUUACAUUUUAAAUUUUUAUCCAACCCUAAAAUUUGUCAUUUCAAAAUUUAACCCACAGACACAUUUUAUUUUAAUAAUACUCAAAAUAAAGUUAUUCAAAAGAGUUUCAUUAGGUCUUGAGUACAUUUCUCAUAAUUAAUGAUUCAGCUUAUUUGUGCAUAUGUAAUGACUAAACAUAAUGUUGGUAAAAUGCUUUAUUAAAAUGCUAUUAUACAUGUUGUACAAGUUUCGUGUUCAUUUUUUUCAUCAUUAACACUUAUUUAUCUACUGUGAUGAACCGUACAGUUUUACUGAAAAUAUCUUUUUAAUUAGUUGCUAUAGACGCCAGAUAAACUGGGUUAUAGAUGCAUGUACUGUAUUCGCAUAAAAAUAUAAAGUAAUGACUGUAAAAUGUAUUCUGCUGAACAUAAUAGAUCAUCAUUCAAAGCACAAACAGCUACAUAUUUUCUUCAAGGUAAGCUGGAGCAGAAUUCUAGCUUUUAAUAAACCACUUUUGAAUUUUGAAUUGAGUUUAGGGCUUCUUGUAGGACUUAAAGUUAUUAAAUAUGCUUAUAUUAAAGCAGUGUGUUGUAUUACUACGACAAAUUUAUUGCUAUAACAUAUUGUAGUGUAUCUGAAUAUCAGGAAUUAAGACUCCAAAAGCCUGAAGCUCAACUCCUGCAGAAGUUUUUUUCCUCACAGAGAUCAACUCACAGGACAUUCAUUUAUUCCAGAGAGCACACAAUUGUGUUGUAGAAACAAGUGAACUUGGUCUUUAAAGAAGCACGGGUAUUAUAGUAUUAAUGAUAGCAACUAUUAUUCUUUGUUUGAAUUCUGCAGCAGUCACGGUAAACACUGCCUUUGUUUUAUUCACAUUUCCUCCACCUAACAUCUGCUUUGCCCUAAACCAGGCUGUUGAAUACCAUCACAUGCAAAUAUUAUCUAAAUAUCACCCAUGUAAAUUAUCUGUAUGGUACAACCAUAGACCUGCAAGAAAAUAAUUAAAAUUUUGUGCUCAACAGAAACAAGGACAGCAAUGUGCAUUACCUAAAUGUCAAGUAAUUCAUAACUGCAU